rnacentral:rRNA from 1 species
GUAAUACAUCGGAACGUACCCAGUAGCGGGGGAUAGCCCGGCGAAAGCCGGAUUAAUACCGCAUACGCCCUACGGGGGAAAGGGGGGGAUCGCAAGACCUCUCACUAUUGGAGCGGCCGAUGGCUGAUUAGCUAGUUGGUGGGGUAAAGGCCUACCAAGGCAACGAUCAGUAGCUGGUCUGAGAGGACGACCAGCCACACUGGGACUGAGACACGGCCCAGACUCCUACGGGAGGCAGCAGUGGGGAAUUUUGGACAAUGGGCGAAAGCCUGAUCCAGCAAUGCCGCGUGUGCGAAGAAGGCCUUCGGGUUGUAAAGCACUUUUGUCAGGGAAGAAAUCGUUCGGGCUAAUACCUCGUGCAGUUGACGGUACCUGAAGAAUAAGCACCGGCUAACUACGUGCCAGCAGCCGCGGUAAUACGUAGGGUGCAAGCGUUAAUCGGAAUUACUGGGCGUAAAGCGUGCGCAGGUGGUUCGUUAAGACAGUUGUGAAAUCCCCGGGCUUAACCUGGGAACUGCAAUUGUGACUGGCGGACUAGAGUUUGGCAGAGGGGGGUGGAAUUCCUGGUGUAGCAGUGAAAUGCGUAGAUAUCAGGAGGAACACCGAUGGCGAAGGCAGCCCCCUGGGCCAUGACUGACACUCAUGCA